CCUGCCGGACCUGACUGCUAUCGGAUUGAUACUAAGCCAUGCGAGUCUUUGUAGUAAUACAAGGCAGACGGCUCAGUAACACGUAGUCAACCUACCCUAUGGACAAGAAUAAUCUCGGGAAACUGGGCAUAAUUCUUGAUAGAUCAUAAUGCCUGGAAUGGUUUAUGGUUAAAAUGAUUCGUCGCCAUAGGAUGGGACUGCGGCCUAUCAGCUUGUUGGUGAGGUAAUGGCCCACCAAGGCGAUUACAGGUACGGGCUCUGAGAGGAGAAGCCCGGAGAUGGGUACUGAGACACGGACCCAGGCCCUAUGGGGCGCAGCAGGCGAGAAAACUUUGCAAUGUGCGAAAGCACGACAAGGUUAAUCCGAGUGAUUUCUGCUAAAGAAAUCUUUUGUCAGUCGUAAAACCACUGGCGAAUAAGGGGUGGGCAAGUUCUGGUGUCAGCCGCCGCGGUAAAACCAGCACCUCAAGUGGUCAGGAUGAUUAUUGGGCCUAAAGCAUCCGUAGCCGGCUUUGUAAGUUUUCGGUUAAAUCUGUAUGCUCAACAUACAGGCCGCCGGGAAUACUGCAGGGCUAGGGAGUGGGAGAGGUAGACGGUACUCGGGAGGAAGUGGUAAAAUGCUUUGAUCUCUCGAUGACCACCUGUGGCGAAGGCGGUCUACCAGAACACGUCCGACGGUGAGGGAUGAAAGCUGGGGGAGCAAACCGGAUUAGAUACCCGGGUAGUCCCAGCCGUAAACUAUGCAAACUCAGUGAUGCAUUGGCAUAAUAGCCAGUGCAGUGUCGCAGGGAAGCCGUUAAGUCUGCCGCCUGGGAAGUACGUACGCAAGUAUGAAACUUAAAGGAAUUGGCGGGGGAGCACCACAAGGGGUGAAGCCUGCGGUUCAAU
rnacentral:rRNA from 1 species